AUUGAACGCUGGCGGCAGGCCUAACACAUGCAAGUCGAGCGAGCGGCGGACGGGUGAGUAAUGUAUGGGGACUGCCCGAUAGAGGGGGAUAACUACUGGAAACGGUAGCUAAUACCGCAUAGUAUCGGAUAACCCAUAUGGGAUGAGCUAGUAGGUGAGGUAAUGGCUCACCGAGGCGACGAUCCCUAGCUGGUCUGAGAGGAUAAUCAGCCACACUGGGACGGAGACAAGUCCCAGACUCCUACGGAGGCAGCAGUGGGAAUUAUUGCAAAGUGGGCGCAAGCCAGAUGCAGCCAUGACGCGUGUAUGAGGAAGGCCCUAGGGUUGUAAAGUACUUUCAGUCGGGAGGCCUUACCGACAGAAGAAGCACCGGCUAACUCCGUGCCAGCAGCCUCGGUAAUAA
rnacentral:rRNA from 1 species